CGCGUGAGUGAGGAAGGUUUUCGGAUCGUAAAGCUCUGUUGUUAGGGAAGAACAAGUACCGUUCGAAUAGGGCGGUACCAUGACGGUACCUAACCAGAAAGCCACGGCUAACUACGUGCCAGCAGCCGCGGUAAUACGUAGGUGGCAAGCGUUGUCCGGAAUUAUUGGGCGUAAAGCGCGCGCAGGCGGUCCUUUAAGUCUGAUGUGAAAGCCCCCGGCUCAACCGGGGAGGGUCAUUGGAAACUGGGGGACUUGAGUACAGGAGAGGAGAGUGGAAUUCCACGUGUAGCGGUGAAAUGCGUAGAGAUGUGGAGGAACACCAGUGGCGAAGGCGGCUCUCUGGCCUGUAACUGACGCUGAGGCGCGAAAGCGUGGGGAGCAAACAGGAUUAGAUACCCUGGUAGUCCACGCCGUAAACGAUGAGUGCUAGGUGUUGGGGGGUACCACCCUCAGUGCUGACGUAAACACAUUAAGCACUCCGCCUGGGGAGUACGACCGCAAGGUUGAAACUCAAAGGAAUUGACGGGGGCCCGCACAAGCAGUGGAGCAUGUGGUUUAAUUCGAAGCAACGCGAAGAACCUUACCAGGUCUUGACAUCCUCUGAAAGCUCUAGAGAUAGAGAGUUCCCCUUCGGGGGACAGAGUGACAGGUGGUGCAUGGUUGUCGUCAGCUCGUGUCGUGAGAUGUGGGGUUAAGUCCCGCAACGAGCGCAACCCUUG
rnacentral:rRNA from 1 species